rnacentral:rRNA from 1 species
GAUGAACGCUGGCGGCGUGCCUAAUACAUGCAAGUCGAGCGAACGGACGAGAAGCUUGCUUCUCUGAUGUUAGCGGCGGACGGGUGAGUAACAAGUGGAUAACCUACUUAUAAGACUGGGAUAACUUCGGGAAACCGGAGCUAAUAACGGAUGAUAUUUUGAACCGCAUGGUUCAAAAGUGAAAGAAGGUCUUGCUGUCACUUAUAGAUGGAUCCGCGCUGCAUUAGCUAGUUGGUAAGGUAACGGCUUACCAAGGCAACGAUGCAUAGCCGACCUGAGAGGGUGAUCGGCCACACUGGAGCUGAGACACGGUCCAGACUCCUACGGGAGGCAGCAGUAGGGAAUCUUCCGCAAUAGGCGAAAGCCUGACGGAGCAACGCCGCGUGAGUGAUGAAGGUCUUCGGAUCGUAAAACUCUGUUAUUAGGGAAGAACAUAUGUUUAAGUAACUGUGCACAUCUUGACGGUACCUAAUCAGAAAGCCACGGCUAACUACGUG